GGGGUGCUCGAGUGGCGAACAGGUGAGUAACACGUGAGUAACCUGCCCUUGACUUUGGGAUAACUUCAGGAAACUGGGGCUAAUACCGGAUAGGAGCUCCUGCUGCAUGGUGGGGGUUGGAAAGUUUCGGCGGUUGGGGAUGGACUCGCGGCUUAUCAGCUUGUUGGUGGGGUAGUGGCUUACCAAGGCUUUGACGGGUAGCCGGCCUGAGAGGGUGACCGGCCACAUUGGGACUGAGAUACGGCCCAG
rnacentral:rRNA from 1 species